GACGAACGCUGGCGGCGUGCUUAACACAUGCAAGUCGAACGAAGUGGCGAACGGGUGAGUAACGCGUAAUCAACCUGCCCUCCAGAGGGGGACAACAGUUGGACACGACUGCUCAUACCGCAUACUUAAGGAGGGGAUUGCGUCUGAUUAGCUAUUUGGAGGGGUAACGGCCCACCAAGGCGAUGAUCGGUAGCCGGUCGUAUAGGAUGAACGGCCACAUUGGGACUGAGACACGGCCCAGACUCCUACGGGAGGCAGCAGUGGGGAAUCUUCCGCAAUGGACGAAAGGCGGACGGAGCAACGCCGCGUGAGUGAUGACGGCCUUCGGGUGGUAAAGCUCUGUUAAUCGGGACGCGGUACCGGAAUAGAAAGCCACGGCUAACUACGUGCCAGCAGCCGCGGUAAUUC
rnacentral:rRNA from 1 species